AUCCGGACUGAAUACAGAAGACCAGCGCAGUAAUCACAUUCUGUUCAGAGAUAAGGCGUAGAGUCCGUUUCGUCCCGAGAAAGAGCAAAGGCUGUGCUGGAGGGAGCCGCUCGUUCUGUGUCCGAAAAUGUCACAGUCUGAUUCUGAUCUGCGCCCUAAAAUAUGAUCCGCGAGGUGGCAGCGUCGUCUGCGAGGUCCUGCUGUCCGACAACUGCUAAGGUUCCUCCUGGGCUACCUGGCAGUGGAAGGUGACUUUGCGGUGCUCUGGGUUGGAAAGGAAAGCUCACCUGAGUGAAAGAUUGAGGACAAGCGUUUGCUCCAGGCCCAGCAGUGUGACAAUAUGACCUACAUUUCACAGAAAGAAGCAUCUCACCUACCACAGGUCCAAUUAUUUUUGUUUCCAGAGUACUGGGGAGCUGCUUGGAGGAGCACAUGGCUGCUGAUUGUUGGGACAAGGUUUGAGGAGCCAGAGUAGUUAUAAAGCUUUGACAUUUGCAUCUCCUGGUCUUUCCUAACAAUAACUGUGAACAAGCCAUAGCCCUGACAAGCUAAUUAAGGUCUUAGACAAACUUUAAAAUACAUAAGAGUACAUUUUAAAAUGCAUUUUCUUUGAUGUGGAGACAGG
ensembl:lncRNA